rnacentral:rRNA from 1 species
AAUUGGAGGGCAAGUCUGGUGCCAGCAGCCGCGGUAAUUCCAGCUCCAAUAGCGUAUAUUAAAGUUGUUGCAGUUAAAAAGCUCGUAGUUGAAUUUCGGGAUUGACACAUCGGUCGUGCCCUAAGGGGUAUGAACUGGUGUAGUCAAUUUCUCACCUUCUGGAGAACCGCGAUGCCCUUAAUUGGGUGUCACGGGGAACCAGGACCUUUACUUUGAAAAGAUUAGAGUGUUUAAAGCAGGCAUUUUGCUUGAAUACAUUAGCAUGGAAUAAUAAAAUAGGACGGCAUGAUUCUAUUUUGUUGGUUUCUAGGAUCACCGUAAUGAUUAAUAGGGAUAGUUGGGGGCAUUAGUAUUCAAUUGUCAGAGGUGAAAUCCUUGGAUUUAUUGAAGACUAGCUACUGCGAAAGCAUUUGCCAAGGAUGUUUUCAUUAAUCAAGAACGAAAGUUAGGGGAUCGAAGACGAUCAGAUACCGUCGUAGUCUUAACCAUAAACUAUGCCGACUAGGAAUCAGACGAUGUUAAUUUUUUAAUGACUCGUUUGGCACCUUACGGGAAACCAAAGUGU